rnacentral:rRNA from 1 species
GGCAGACGGGUGCGUAACACGUAGGUGACCUGCCCUGGAGUGGGGAAUAACUAUCCUAACGGAUAGCUAAUACCGCAUAUGCUCGGUGAUUCAUUUUGCCGAGUAAAGUCGAAAGGCGCUUCAGGAUGGGCCUGCGGCGGAUUAGGUAGUUGGUGGGGUAACGGCCUACCAAGCCGAUGAUCCGUAGGGGGCGUGAGAGCGUGGCCCCCCACACUGGCACUGAGAUACGGGCCAGACUCCUACGGGAGGCAGCAGUGAGGAAUAUUGCGCAAUGGGCGAAAGCCUGACGCAGCAACGCCGCGUGAGGGACGAAGGCCUUCGGGUCGUAAACCUCUUUUCUGGGGGAAGAGCAAGGACGGUACCUCAGGAAUAAGUCUCGGCUAACUACGUGCCAGCAGCCGCGGUAAAACGUAGGAGGCGAGCGUUAUCCGGAUUUACUGGGCGUAAAGCGCACGCAGGCGGCUUC